GAUGGGAGGAUGUAGGGCAAAGGAGGAAGCCAAUACACAAAAUGAGCAAGUGUAGAGAGUCAAUGUACAACAUGAGAAUUAUAGGUAAUGAAAAUGCAGUGUAUUUGGGAUUCAUGAAAAGUGAAUAGAUUUUAGCUAAUCUAGCCAAACAGGUGAAGAAUUGGGUAACUAUAGGAGAUGAUUGCUAUGUUAAUUUGCUUCACUAUAUAGACUUUUUACUAUCAAUAUGCACCCCAUAACAUCAUGUCAUAUGCCUUAAUUAUAGAGAAUAAAAGUCAUUUGGAAAAAAAGCCAUAAUUUGCACCAUGUUGUGAAUUCAGCAUUCAUAAAUGUGUAAGACAUUUUGAGUGCUGAAAAUUUAAGAAAGGCUUUAGGUGAAAACUAUUAGUAUUUAUAUCUAGCAACUUGCUUUUCUUUGAAAUGAAGAAAUUAAUUUCUUCUCAUUAUGUAUAAGGUGUUUCUGAUUGCUAUUUUGGAGUAAGGUUAGAAUAUUUAAACUUAGGGUUUUAAAAUUUAUCAUUUUGGAUGAAAUAUUUCCUUGGACUUUUAAAGUAACCUCUACUUUGGGUUUAUUAAGUUCUUUGACUUUAUAAGUACUUUAUUAAGUAUAUAAAGUUUAGUCUUCAAAGUUAUGAUGAUGUUUUACAAGAAUCAGGAACAUGCCAGAACUGUUAGUUGAUAAAAAUGAAUAUAGACCUCUGGCUUUUGCUGUAUGUAGUUUGGCUCUUGUAUGUCCUCAAAAGUGUCCUCCAAGGGUCCAUGUCAUAAAGGCUUGGUCCCCAGCCUUUGGUACUGUUGGAAAGUGGUGGACCUUUAGGAAGUGGGACCCAGUGGUAGGAAGUUAGGCCACAGGGGUGUGUUCUUGAAAGGGAUAUUGACAUGAAACCCCUUCUUGUCUCUGUCUUUCUCUUCCUGGGCACCAUAAGUCAAGCAUUGUUUCCACAAUGGUGUGCCUGUCACUGGUCCAAAGCAAUGAGCCAACCAACCAUCGAUGGAGACUUCCAGAACCAUGAGCUAUGUAUAAGUGUUUUAACUCAAAUAUUUUGUCACAGCAAAGGAAAACUAACACAGUUUUUUAACCCUUAAAUAUUUUCCUUUUAACCAUAUUUAGCAGCACUAACACCUUUACUUUCCUUUUUUUGAAGGUGGUAGUGGUAAAUUUUGGUUAAAUUAAAUUUCCACAACUUUCCUAAAGUAAAAUACAUUAGUCUGUUAAUUGUAAUUUUCAUACAUAUUUCAAUUUCUGCAAAACAGUAAAUUUAUGUUUAUCAGAGCUUUGAAUGUUGAAAUUUAACAUAUGCUACUAAUUAUACUUGCAAAAAUGUUGGUUGUCUUUAUUAAAAAUUAUUUGAAUGGUUAAUGUUCUGCCUUAUUUUUUGUCCCAGGGAUAUUUUCACCAGUAAGUAUGCAUUUUUUAUUUUUAUGCAAAUAAAUGUGACAAUAGGUUUAAUAGAAAUUUGUCUUGCAAGAAAUUUUAAGGGAUAUAUUUAUUUGCAUAUUAAAUAUGGCUGAAUAGUAUCCUUUUUCCAGGACAGUUGACUUUCAAGGCCUCUUUUAGAAGGACAUGCUUUCUAAAGUACUUCAGAACUUUAAAGAGAUUACAUGCAAGCUGUUAAGUGUUUUAGUGUAUCUAAUAAUGAAAACAUUGACUAAAGAAAGUCACACUUUGACACCCUAGUUAGCAAGACAUUCUGACUUAAAUUGCAUGUAUAGGGUCCCAAUACUCAUUGUGUUCCAAGCCAACUCAUUUAUCUAGGUUUUAGAAACCUGAAUAUCAUUUUCUUUUGCACUUUACUAUCUUAAUAUUCACCAGUCUUUCAAGCAAUUAGAGAUUCCUGCUAGUAAACUUAGAUUUUUAGUUUCUGUUUCUAGUAACUCUUACUAAAUCUGUAUUCUUUAACAAAUGAUUACUUCAACAGUCUUCACUUUCACCUUGGAUGUCUUUUCCUGGCUUCCAGUGCAGACCUUUCAGGCUCCUGAUAUGGAUUCACACAGGACACUACAGGGAGCUCCAGGCCUUCAACCUUUGACUGGAUCCUUCAGAUCUCCAGUGUUCAGACAACACUUUUGCACUCUUCCACACAUGACUCUUUGGUUGAAUCCACACAUUAAUCUUAUCCAGAUAUGGAAGGUGGACUAUAUUGUCAAGAAUCUGAUUCCAAUUUGAUCUUCUCUACCUUAUAGGGUCUUGUUAAGUCACUCUGUUGUCCAGGCUGGACCCAAGCUAGUGAUCCUCCUGCUUCAGCGUCCCAGAGUGCUGGUAUUACAGGAUCUGGCACUUUGGGACUUCCAGAUCAUCACCAUUCAAAGUGACCAUGAAAGGUAAAUGUUUUGAAAUGACUCAGGACAUUGAGGUAGCCUGGAAAGCACAACUAUAUACACUCACAAAAGAGGACUUCCAGAACUUCUUCCAGAACUUCUUCAGAAAGUGGCAAGAAAGUUGGGAUAAAUGUGUUCUAAUUGAGGGAUUAAUGGCAAUGUGUCUUUUACUGUAAUAAAUGUUUUCAAGGAAACAUGUAAACAUUCAUUGUAUUUUUUGAUCAUACCUCAUAGAAACUCUGUGGCUUAUAAACAAUAUUAGCUCAUUUCCCACAAUUCUGGAUGUUUAGAAGUCUAAGAUGCAAGCUAUAGUAUAUUUGGUAUCUAGUGAGGGACAACUUUCUGGGUCAUAGGUAGUGGUUUUCUGAUGUGUCCUCACAAGGUAGAAAGGGGAACAGUUAUCUCAGGCCUCCUUCACAAGAGCACUGAUUCCAUUCAUGAGGGCAUCUUCAUGACUCCAUGUCUUCCAAAAGCCUCCACAUCUAAACACCAUUAGCUUGGGGGUUAAGAUUUCAACACAUGACAUUGGAAAUAAGGGACACUAUCCUUAAUAUUACAGUGGAUAGUGAUGUUUUUGCAAACCACAUUAUUUAGUGUCAAUUUGUAAAAUAAUAACAAUCUAAUGAGUGAAGAAUUUUUAAAAGCCAUCGGAAAAAAAAAGAAUUAAAAACAUCAUAACACAAUGAUAUAUGGACACCCAUGUUUAUAGGGGCACAGUAGUAGCUAAACCUUGGAAACAGCCCUAAUGCCCAUCAACCAGUGAAUGGAUAAAAAAAGAUUUUUUUUUUUAUAUAUACAACGGAGUAGUACUUAGCCAUAAAGAAAGACAAACUUGAGACAUUUAUAGCUAAAUGGAUGCAACUUGAGACUAUAUUCUUAAGUGAAAUAAAUUGGACAUAUAUGUGAAAAAAAGCCACCAGAAAUAGUGAUUUUGUUUAUUUUUUAAAAUCAUUCAAAUGAGGUGUCCAAAGGUGUUUGCUAAAUAAAAAAGACAAAAAAAAUAUGAUAAUGGAAGUAUUCAGUUUAGCUGAUUUAUUUGAACCCUAGAUUGGCAUGCCAAACCUUAGAUUCAGGUUUUCUUUUCCUUUUUUUUUUUUUUUUUGGUACCAGGGAUCAGACUCAGGAACUUGCACCUGUGCACUUGCAAGGCAGGAGGCGGAACCACUGAGCUAAAUCCCCGGCUCUGAUCCAGCUUUUUCUGAGAACAUGUUACCCCUCACUUUAUACGAAUCUGAUACUUCUGUGGACAUAAAGAAUAAAAUAACUGUUAAUAAAGUAUCUUUUAAUUAUGAAAAGGAUACGAUGCGAAAGAAGCAACACACUAUUUACAAAUAUUCUAAGACAUUGGCACUGAGAGGCAUACCACAGGAAGGUGCUAUAUUGGGUUUCAAAGAACUACAUAUUAAACAAUGAUGAAAUCUGUCUCUCCUUAGAGAGUUGUUACCAGCUGUGUUCAGCAAGUGGUGGAUUAUUUUAAGCUUUUAGGUUUCUUGACUGAAGUUGAAAAUAGCUUGAGAUUAUCAAGCAGAAAUCCUUGUCCUUCUCAUUGAAAUAUGCAAACCUAGAAGAUAUGUGAAAUUACAACAGCACUGUAAACAGGUGUAUUAGUCUAUGAUCUGGUAGACUUUUAGAUGAAUGCAAAUUAACUAAAAUACCCUGAAAAGACUUGGGGAAAAAUAAUGGCUCUGGGAAAUGUUUUUUCUUGUUAAUUUUUAUUGAAGUGAAAUUCAUGUCACAUACAAUCAAAUAUUUGAUAAUGUUUUGUCUCUGAUUAUAGCCAUUCUAACUGGGAGGACAUGAUAUCUCACUGUGGUUUUGAUUUGAAUUUUCCUGAUGAUUGAUUAUGUUAAACAUAUUCUUUUAUAUAUUUAUUGAACAUUGGUAUAUCUUCUUUUCAGAAAUGUCUUACUAUUAUUGGCUCAUGUUAAAAUCACACUACUUGUUUUCUUACUAUUGAGUGCUUUGUAUUCUGUAUGUGUUCUGUGUAUUAAUCCCUUGGUACAGGAAUACUCUAGUCUUGUGAGUGGUUUGUUUAUGUGCUGUGCUUUACAGGAGUGUCUUAGUUUUGUAUAGUUUUACAUAGUAUUAUAUAGUCUCACAUGUCUAGGUUUGCUUUUGUUGCUUGCACUUCUGGAAUAUUAUUCAAAGAACCACUAUCUAUAUCGGGGUCUUAAAGUGUCACUCUUGUUUUCUUGUAGUUUCAAACAGUGUUUUUUAACCACUUCUGCUCUGUUUUUCUCAGUUUACUUAGAAAUUAACUGGACAAUUGUAGGAGGAACUAUAAUUGCAGGAUGUUACUGAUAUAUCCUGCAAUGUGUAGGAUAGUCCACUACCAUAAAGAUUUAUUGAAGUUAGAUUCCAAUAAUACUUUUCUCACUGAGACACACUGUGAAUGAAGAUUUCAAAUUUCACAUUGGAUUGACCAAAAGAAAGUAUUUUCAAACUCUGUUAAAAUAGCUUUAAAUAGUACCUGAGAUUGUUUUGCAACCUUCUUUCCAAUCAAACUAAUUUUCCUUUGAAUAAGUAACUAAAAUGAGCCUAAUUCUUACCAAUAUACACAAAAGAAUGAUUUUCUGUAGUUAUAAAUUUAUAUUUUAUUAGAAAAAUUAGAGCUUAAUUACUCAAAACUGAUUGAUGUCAGCCUUGGCCUUCUAGAAAGCUAUACAUUGUUAGGAAAUAAACUCUGUAUUUAAUGGGCAUAGUGUCUUUCCAAAUUUCUAUAGAAACAUUAGUCAUAGAGACCAAAUAGAUUUUUUUUGUUAUCAUUUAUUAGAAGUAGAAUGUGAAUAGAGAAAGAGAAUAUUUCCCUUUCUUGAAGCCAUGUGCCUCCCAAAGUCUCUGGACUACAUAUAGUAGCCAUAAAUUGUCCAUAGGUUCUUGAGGUAAGGAGCUGUUCCUUCUUAGCCCUGUAAUAUAUGCCAUGAGAGUGACCAUUGUUGACUACCUACUACUACUGGGUUUUCCUGGAAAAGGAAGCUUUGAUAGACGCUCUCUAAACCCAGGACCCUCUAUUUCAGUUGCCCACAUGCCCUGUGACACAGCAUCUUACAGGCUCAGGAUGGCUGUAAAGUCUUCCUUGCUCCAAAAUGGAGCCAAACACACCCUCUGGCAUAUCUCAUCUGUGGAGUCAGCGGUCCCCUUUGUCCUCAGUCUCUUAAAGAUGACAUGGCACCAAGGAAACUUGCCUUUGCCCCUAGACCCCUUAUGCACCUGAACAGCCUCUUGAAAUUAACUGAGUGAACAGUCAUAUGCACUUGUUGGUUCUCCAUCAUAUAUGAUGGAGCUAUGGAAUAUUGCUGGUUUUCAUCCAUUAAGGAGAAUUUCCUUGAUAAUGGGUAGGACUCAGAGGCCUUAUAUGCCUGGCCGAACUCUAGACUGUAAUCAUAACACUGGCUCCUCUGGGCAGCAACUGGUCCCAUCAGUGCAUUUUAUGUAUCCAAUAUUCCCCUAGAUCACUCCUACAUCAAAUUCAAGAACUCUGAGAACCUCUUACCUCUCAGAUACCCAGAAUAUAAACCAAAGUAACAGAUAUAGCUAUGUUCUAAGGACACAAUAUGAGAUCUCACAGGGACACUCCUUUUCCCCUUCAGAGCCAGAUAUUACAUACAGUCACUAAGGUACUUAUUUUGCUUCUCAAAACACACAAUGCAGUGCUUUUAAAGAAGGACUCCUACCUCCUCUAUAGGCUCCAGGAAAUGCUUGACUAGAGAAAGAUAAUGAGAUCCUCCAAAAAUUCCUAUUUAAAUUACAAAAUUCCAAGUGGUUGCCCUGCUGCAUUUCUUAUUGCCACAGGCAUUGCUUAGAAACAGAUGCUCUUUUCAUCAGUGUUACACAAUUUUCUUAACUGUCUUAUACGGUCAAUGAGAGCAUCAUCUCUAAAGUUCACAUUUUGACAUCCACCUGCCCCCUGAGCCACCCAGAGGUGGUGAGUGUCUUCCAUACUGAAGUCACUGUUGCUUGUGGAUCAAUAAGAAUGAUUCAACAACUUAUAAGAAAAAUAAAAACCCAUAUAUGAGUAACACAAAAUGUUUCCCAAAUCCUAAAAAACAAAAAAAGCCAAGGCUAUGCUGCCAGAGGACUCAUAUAUUCUUUUCUGCAGUUUGCUAAACAAAUGGGGUCAGUAGCUUUUCAUGAGCUUGAAAAUCUAUUGCUCAUAAUUCUGACCAUUCUAAUCCUCUCUCAUCUUUAAAUAUUUAUUGUGAUUAAUUUAUUGUGUGUCUCAGAAGUCCUCUUUUUCAACCUCUCAAGAUAUUAGUCAUCAGCACGGUAUUUGAGUCAUCAAAUGUGUCAGUUGUAUUAUGAAUCCUAAAAUUUCAUGUGCCAUUAGACCAGUGCUCAAUCUAAUAGCUUUCACUUUGGUGUCAGGUACAAAAUUACUUAAAUUAGUCAUGCACAUCCUGCCGAGGGAACAAGGGGUCACUGAAUCUCCUGUUUACUGUGAGGUCUGCCUGCCACAUCCUCUACAUGUUCAUUCUGUUCCCAAGUGCAACUCCCAUGUAGACCUGCCUAGUGCUCUAUGUUACCCUCUCUUGGGCUUUGAGUAUUCAUGACCAAAAAUCUCCUGUUAAUUUAAUCUCUUUAAUUUUGUGUGUUGUGUGUUCAUCCACUCCCUUGAACCUUGAGGCUGAAUUUCCUCCUUCACCAACAGAGAAUAGAGGAGACCAACAAAAUAGGAUCUCACUGCCUUAAAAUCCCUCUCCUGUCUCUUAAUUAUAUAAUGCAUGCCAUUUUCCCCAUAGGUCUUUUGGUCUGUCCAUGCUGUGAAGCCAGAUGAGGUAUUGCAUCCUUCCUAAUCUCAGAGGAUGGUUGGGGAACACUAAAUCAUAAAAUUUCCAUAGUGAUGACAUAAUUUUAUCUUAUGCCUUCAAUCUUCUCUUCUUCCUCAACUUCAUGCUUGGUAGGUUGUACCUGAUAAUUUUUGCAGAUUGUUGGAAAGGUGAAAAAAAGUUUUUACUCAUGAUGCGGCUUCAGAAAACUCCAUGGAAAAAUUUUACUUGAAUAAUCAACUUUCUCUUUUUCCCAGAAAUUACCAACUCUUAGAGACAACUUUCUGUGUUCUGCAAAGAUAGUUUAGCUUUUCUCUUACUUUCCCUCAAACAAAUACAUUACGUGUACUUCUUGUGUAUAGUAAUUUUUUUUUGGUACCAGAGGUCAAACUCAGUUCCUUGAGCUUGAGAGGCUGGCGCCAGAACCGCUGAGCUAAAUCCCGGCCCCUUUUGUAUAGUAUUGAUUGACAGCCAGAUGUGGAAAAGUUCCUUGACUUUAAAUCAAUAUUCAUUAUAGAACAUGGUGUAAUCACAGAAACAAAUCUUUGGCUAGAAAGAUUUAUGAUUAAAUGAGUUAAUAGUAGCUAAUUGUACACUUUCUAUAGGGAAGAAUCUUCACAUGUGCUAUUUCAUUUCCUACUUAAAACAAAAGGAAAAUCCUAAAAUGACCCCUUUCUUCACUUUAUAUAUGACAAAAUUGAGGCCUAGCAAAGUUAAGUAACUCACUUCAAAGUUCUCAGUCAGAAGCAAAGCCAAGUCCAAAAGCAAGUUGUUUGAUUUCAGAUCUCAAAUACUUUAAUACUUUUACCAUAGAAUUUUCUGAAGUAACAUCAUGAAUAAAAACUUUUUAUCAUCUCCCAACAAUCUGCAAAAAUUAUCGAACACAACCUGCUGAGCAUUAAUACUCUCCCUUCAUUACAAUGACUAGUGGAAAGAAUGCUACAUAUGCUGUGUGGCAGUGCUUCUCUGUCGUUAAUGUAUACAUGAGUUACUAGGGCACCCUAUUGACAUGCAAGCCCACAGACACACUUUAACUAGCAAGGACAAGAGAUCAGAGAAUGGAAAUGAGAGUUUAGAAAGCAAUGCUGAGAUUCUCCUGCUGAUUUGGACACUGCUUCAACUCCUUGCUGGAAAAGAAUUGCACAUCAAAAGUUAAAAUCGAUAUAAAAUAGUGGUUUUAUUCUGGACAUUAUACUAGACACUAAAUAUAAAAAAUGUUCCAUUGUCUCUAAAUGUAAGGAACCUCUAGAGCAAUAGACUCUGAAUCCAAUGUGUUGUUUCCAUUCUGAUCAGAAUGCAUGAAUGUUAUCAAACAUAACUAACACCAUUUUCACAUAACUAACAGCAGCAUAUCUCCAUGGUAUGAUUUGUCCUGCUUCUGAAAAAUUACCUUCCUACAUUAUAAACACUAUCAAUGGUUAUAAUGUUUCAUUCUUUCAUCCAACUAUCCCUAAAUUCUAUUGAAAUAAAAACAUAAAACAUAAUCUUAACGUAUUAAUAUAUAUUUGUGAUGAAAUUGCAUUACUUUUCAUACUCUUACAAUUUUCUCCCAAUUUAUAGAAUAUGUUGGUUAAAAUAAUUAAUUUUAACCAUACAUCUCUAUUAUAAACUUCAUUAUAUGUCUGUGAGUCAUUAAAAAAUAUAUGCUGUUAUAAAAUUUGUAUUCUGGACAGUGUGGCUACUUCCUCUCUCUCAAUUUUAUUAAUUAGGCUACAAAUAUGAAUAAACCAGCUAGUGUAAUGGAUAAAAACUACCAUCAUCAUUAAGGAGAACAAGAAAUCUGUAAAAAUAAGAAUAAUCCAAAUUUAUCUAUUAAAACUGGAUCAUAAAACAGCCCCAAAAUACUAACUAAAAACAAAAUGAAAUAACAUGAACUAAAAAAAACAGUUCAAGUUAUUCACAUCUAUCUUAGAUACAAAUGUUAAUGAAAUACAAGUAUUCACAUACCAUAGGUAGCUUCAUAAUUCUGGAAACAAAAUCCAUUUUCCUGCAAGUGCAAGGUCCCGAGUUCGAUCCCCGGUACCAAAAAAAAAAAAAAAUCCAUUUUCCUAUCAAGUUCUAGAAAAAUCUAUCAUAUCAUAGAAUCUGAUGCUGAUAUGAAAAAAUAAGUACAAUAAUCAAAUCUGAAAGUGAAUACAAGUUCAGAGAAAUGUAUAGUGUAAGUGAACAAAAGUUCAUUGUUAAUCUUAUAGAAUUAGGCUUAUUUAUGUAUUUAUUAUUUAUUUAUUUUUGUUCAUGAAAAGAUUCAAGUCAACCUACACAACUACUUCAUAAGAAUUUCAUGUAAGGAAACUAUGGGAUAAAUAUUCAGAUAUACAUUGCUACAAAUGAUUACAUGACAUUAUGUAUUCUAUUGUAUCUAGCAGUACAUUUUCCAUUGAUUUAGAUACUGACUCCUAUCUUAUCAGCCUUGUUUCAGUAUUUACAAAAUUGAAUACUCAAUAAGCUCUGAUUAUAAUGAAUUUGGAUAUUGCUUAUUGACAUCUCAGUCAAACUGCAGUCAUACUUUUCAGUAGACCCCAUGAAUUGUUUUAAAGAAACCUAAUAUAUUUACUCACGUCUUUAUGUUCUCAGACAAUGGCAGUGAUACAUUUUGUAUGAGUGUGUGUGUGUGUGUGUGUGUGUGUGUGUAUUUUGUGGUUCCUUGCCCAGUUUCUGUGAUAUCUGAUGCUAGCAGAAGUUUAAUAUAAAUAACAUCUAACAAUGUUAGAAACCUUGACUUUUAUGUAUCUGUUAGGUGAUAGAAGGUAGAUAGAAAUUUGCAUUAUGAGAAUACAUAUGGUUUGACAGACUAUUCAUUUCACGCUUUUCUAACAGAGAUGAUACCCAAGAGUUAUGUUUAAAAGUCACCAAAAAUAGGACAUAUAUUUUAUGUUUUUAGAUGAAAAAAAUAACACUAAUCAG
rnacentral:lncRNA from 1 species